UAGAGUUUGAUCAUGGCUCAGAUUGAACGCUGGCGGCAGGCUUAACACAUGCAAGUCGAACGGUAACAUAAACUAGCUUGCUAGUUUGAUGACGAGUGGCGGACGGGUGAGUAAUGCUUGGGAAUAUGCCUUGGAGUGGGGGACAACAGUUGGAAACGACUGCUAAUACCGCAUAAUGUGCUUUUUGUAGAGAAAAGUACCAAAGGGGGGGCUCUUCGGACCUCUCGCUUCUUGAUUAGCCCAAGUGAGAUUAGCUAGUUGGUGAGGUAAUGGCUCACCAAGGCGACGAUCUCUAGCUGGUUUGAGAGGAUGAUCAGCCACACUGGGACUGAGACACGGCCCAGACUCCUACGGGAGGCAGCAGUGGGGAAUAUUGCACAAUGGGCGAAAGCCUGAUGCAGCCAUGCCGCGUGUGUGAAGAAGGCCUUCGGGUUGUAAAGCACUUUCAGUUGUGAGGAAAGGGUGUUGGUUAAUAGCCAACAUCUGUGACGUUAACAACAGAAGAAGCACCGGCUAACUUCGUGCCAGCAGCCGCGGUAAUACGAGGGGUGCAAGCGUUAAUCGGAAUUACUGGGCGUAAAGCGUUCGUAGGCGGUUUGUUAAGCAAGAUGUGAAAGCCCAGGGCUCAACCUUGGAACUGCAUUUUGAACUGGCAAACUAGAGUACUGUAGAGGGGGGUAGAAUUUCA
rnacentral:rRNA from 1 species